rnacentral:rRNA from 1 species
AUUGAACGCUGGCGGAAUGCUUUACACAUGCAAGUCGAACGGUAGAGGGGGCAACCCCUUGAGAGUGGCGAACGGGUGAGUAAUAUAUCGGAACGUGCCCAGUCGUGGGGAUAACGUAGCGAAAGUUACGCUAAUACCGCAUACGAUCUAAGGAUGAAAGCGGGGGAUCGCAAGACCUCGCGCGAUUGGAGCGGCCGAUAUCAGAUUAGGUAGUUGGUGGGGUAAAGGCUCACCAAGCCAACGAUCUGUAGCUGGUCUGAGAGGACGACCAGCCACACUGGAACUGAGACACGGUCCAGACUCCUACGGGAGGCAGCAGUGGGGAAUUUUGGACAAUGGACGCAAGUCUGAUCCAGCCAUUCCGCGUGCAGGAUGAAGGCCCUCGGGUUGUAAACUGCUUUUGUACGGAACGAAAGGUUUCUCUUAAUACGAGGAGCUCAUGACGGUACCGUAAGAAUAAGCACCGGCUAACUACGUGCCAGCAGCCGCG